ensembl:snRNA U1 U1 spliceosomal RNA
AUACUUACCUGGUGGGGGAGAGAACAUGAUCAUCAAGGUAGUUUUCCCAGGGUGAGGCUUAUCCAUUGCACUCUGAAUGUGCUGACCCCUGUAAUUUCCCCAAAUGUGGGAAACUCAACUGCAUGAUUUGUGGUAUUGGGGAACUGUGUUUUCAUACUCCUCU